UACGAAGGGGGCUAGCGUUGUUCGGAAUUACUGGGCGUAAAGGGCGCGUAUGCGGUGUGUCAAGUCAGGCGUGAAAGCCCCGGGCUCAACCUGGGAACCGCGCUUGAGACUGGCACGCUCGAGUUCGGGAGAGGAUGGUGGAAUUCCCAGUGUAGAGGUGAAAUUCGUAGAUAUUGGGAAGAACACCGAUGGCGAAGGCAGCCAUCUGGACCGACACUGACGCUGAGGCGCGAAAGCGUGGGGAGCAAACAGG
rnacentral:rRNA from 1 species